AUGCUUAGUCUGAAAACUGGUGACAGGCGGCGAGCGAAACGGCUUAAAGCCGGCCCAAGUGGCAACUGCCAGUGGCAAGUAACAAAGUGGAGAGAUGCCCGGCGGCCCAUGGAACCCAAAACCCGCAUCGGAACGCACCGCAUCGUAUGGAAUCGAAUCGCGUCAAGCCAAACCAAACCAAACCAACCCAGCCCAAGUGAUCCCGGGGCGAAUCGAACCCGAUCCCCUCGUGCUGCUUUAUGGCAUUGGGCGCCACCCAAUUAAAAGGCACUCGUCGACCAUUAAAAGCCGGGUCCGUGCGAGAAUCUGGAGAAUCGGAGGAACUGGGACAGGCAUCGUGAGCUGGGCCCAGUGCAACAUUUCGCCGUAUUUUUUGCAAUUAGAGAAUUAUUAAAGUGUCGUUAAACGGCCGGGGAGCCUGGCAUAUGAAUCAUGCCCACUUUUAUGACGACUGUCAGAGCUCGUGAGUAUUUAUGACCUCGCACAAUGGCCAUAAUACCGAUGGAGAAGGAAGGUGGAAGGCAUUUGGGGAAUGUUACUGCAUCCCAGCAGCGGGUGUUUUGAGUAUAUCGAAUACUCAGAGCUGCAAGGAAAGUGCGCUGGCAUCUGGGUAAUCAAAGGAGAUUACAGAAAGAGGAACUAAGUUGUCUUAUAUUUAUUCAAUAAUAGCUAAUAGUUAUAUUGCAUAUAUGUUUUGAUACUUCAUAUAAUCUGAAAAGAAAAGACUAAUAUUAAAUUACAAAACCUAUUUAACGGUAAAAUAGCAACCAUCAGACUGCAAAAGGCACAAAAAAGCGCUUCCAACUUCUUCGAAACUCGCUUCCUCUAUUUUAUUUUCUUAUUUAUAUCUCUUCUUACUUUGCAGCGGAAAAAUCGCUGUGAAAUCAAGCCAACAGACACAAAAGUCUUUGGACAAAUCGUGAUUUACGUUGGAGCCAAAAGAAAGUUGCACAAAUAUUGAAAUAUUAUAUCCAUAUUUAUUGGUACCGUCUCUGUGCUCCGGGGACAAAAAAAAAAAAUGAGAUUCGUAAUGCCAGCAAGGAAAUUGAAUCAAUGAAUUUAGUGCGACCAUCAGCAGAAAUUACUUUUAUGAUAAAAAAGAUACUAAAGUCCGGACCCAAAAUCCAUCCAUCCAAAUCCAACCACCCCCGAAGUUGAGAUGGCCCGGAAGUGCGGACCGGACAAAGAAGCUGGCUAUCUCAUAUCAUAAUAAGCGCUCAUCAAUUUCCAUUAAAUUUAAUAUGUCACUUGGCCAAAGGACAAUGCCCGGAACAGGACACUACUGUCCUUUUCCGCUCGUCAUCAUCGUAAAAAGAGACCGGACCAUAAAAAAGCUUUUUCAUAAUUUUGCUCGAAGUGCGCGAGGACGGAAAUAAAAUAUGAUAUGAGCUUGUAAUAGAUUUUUAUCACUAUUCGAGUGUGGAUAGGAGGGCGGUGCGGUUUCAUUGAAACAAAUGAGCGUGCUAAGUGAAAGUUUUGAUUUAUGCCCAUAUAAUAUACGCCAGGGACUGACCAGACAAUCCGCACGAUGGAUAAGCAUUAGCCGCAAUAAAGCCAAAAUGCGAAAUUACGAGAAAAACUGCACAAAAAUUUGUGAAAGACAUGCAAACCUGUAGAAAGCUGCUGUGCUGUCCUAUGGGGAAAAGCCGAAUGGAAUGAGAGGAGAAGAGUUUUGGGGCCUUGACAGGUCAUCGAAUGGCAAAUGUGUUGCACGAAUGACAAUUGGCCAUAACUCAACCCGAUUCGUGGGGCAACCAAAAGCGAGCUGACUUUUUGGCCAGCAAGUGCAGGGCUUGGUGGGUACACUGAGAGAAAAAUAUUACAGUGCUUUUAAUACCCGUGACUCAGACUCCAAUUCUGGGUGGCUGCCCAACUGGCGGAUCAAAAUUAAUUAGCUGCACUCAAAAGCAAAGCACGACAUUUUAUCAGAGUUUCCAGCUUCGUUCGUCUUUUGUUUCCCUCGCUGAUUUUGCAUUUUUCAUACUUCAAUAAUUGGGAAAUAUGCAGGUGGGGGAAUUGGGGAGCAUAUAUCCCAUCGGGAGCGGCAGCCAAUAAAACUUUAACGAGCAUUACACACGGGAUGGCUGGCACAUAAAAAACUCAGCCCGUUUCCGAGGAACACUCGGCGUCAUCGAUAUGGAUGUUGGCUGGAUGUGGACGCAAGGAUUGGCUGUGUUUUCCAUAAUUGAUUAAUUAAUUAAUUUUGAGGCCAUUCCGAAACGAUGUCUAUAAUUCUCGAACUCUGUCCAAACAGAGCCAUUUGCAUCGAGUUUUAUGCGAAAUGACGAGAUAUAAAGAUUAAGGAAAGAUACAACCUCUUUUUUUCAUUUUUUUCAUCUUGAUCAGUUUUUUUAUUGAUAAAGAACAACAAGUUCAUAUCAACAAAUUGGAAUUUCAUUACGUAUAUUUGUUAAAGUUCAAUUUAUUAUACUAUUUUUUUUCCCCCCAACCUAAUGAAUAUCUAUUUCUUUUACAGCUGACAAACUGCAAUGUUUGCGAUUAGAAAUUCCUAUCCGAACCUGUCGAAUAGCUGGCAUAUCUUCUCCGACCGCUGAUUAAGAUAAUGUCCGUAUAGUUUGGUAUAGGAAUUCAAAUCUUCUAUUAUCGUCAUGCCUUUUAAAAAGUUAACCAACUGAGAUUCCUUUAGCCAAAAUAAUUGCCCAGCGAAUGCAUCCAUCAAUAUGUGAGUGCAGCAAAUAUGGAUAUGCAAAUAUGUAUCUUGGGGAGAAGUACCCGGUCUUCAAGAGGGGAUCGCACAUAACUAACUGGAUUUCUCUGGGCUGUCGGAUCGAAAAGGAAAUGCAGCUCGGUUCUAUGGCCGAGUGUGGGACAAAGAUGAAUCCGCGAGUGCAGAAAUUGUGGCACUUGAUAUCCAUAAAUACGUCACAAUGUGAAAGUCUAGCGGCUGCAUGCAAACGAGUCUCAAGUUUGUUUCUAUUUAUGCACGUAGCAUGUUGCAUUGAGGAAGUUGCCGCUGUUGCUGCUGUCGAUGUUGCAGCUACUGCUGUUGCAAGUUGCAAGUGUUCGGCAGCAGAUGCGACUGUCAGCGGCACGGCAUUCACUCUCUUAUGAAAUGGUUUUUGUCAUUUAUUUAUCGCUUUUCGCCGCUAAAAUGAAAACUGAUUGAAAUGUGUCUGCCCGUGCGCAGAACUUCGUGGCGAGCUUUGGGGAAUGUUCCUGGACCGGGUAUGCCUAAUUUGGGCCCCAAGGCAACGGCAAAAGUAGCAGCAGCAUCAAUUUGGCCAAUUAUAUUGACACUUUCGCUUGACCAGCAAUCGGCUUCAAUCGAGGCGACUCCAAUCGCCGCCACAUGCAACAUUCGGCAUUCUGCAUUCGGCAUUCAAGAUCCAGCACUCAACACUCAACACUCAUAGCCAGAACAAUGUCCGACAAGCUGUGAGCUGCCAGGAUCCGACUGAGAAAUUGGCAUAUCUCCGCUUGACAAUCAAAUCUUGGCCUUAAAUAGACGCAGUCCGACCCCCAACUCAACUCCAGCAACACUUCCAUGCAGAUGGGCUCUCUUCCUCGGGCAGAAUCUGCACUGGACGAAAUCUAUAAGAUAGCUGAACUAAUUGUUAUUAAAUGUUCAUUAUCAUUAAUAAAUUAUUUAUAAUUAGUGGCAAACACUAGCAACU
ensembl:ncRNA lncRNA:CR43681 long non-coding RNA:CR43681